CCUGGUUGAUCCUGCCAGUAGUCAUAUGCUUGUCUCAAAGAUUAAGCCAUGCAUGUCUAAGUUUAAGCGAUUUAAAUUGUGAGACUGCGGACGGCUCAUUAUAUCAGUUAUAGUUUAUUUGAUGGUCGAUUGCUACAAGGAUAACCGUAGUAAUUCUAGAGCUAAUACUUGCACUUCAAACCUCUUCCGAGGUUGCAUUUAUUAGAUUUCCCACCAAUGCCUUUUAGGCUUCGGUGAAUCAUAGUAACUUAGCGGAUCAUGUCGUAAGACUUGACGCUUCAUUCAAGUUUCUGCCCUAUCAGCUUUCGAAGGUAGUGUAUUGGACUACCUUGGCAUUGACGGGUAACGGAGAAUUAGGGUUCGAUUCCGGAGAGGGAGCCUGAGAAACGGCUACCACAUCCAAGGAAGGCAGCAGGCGCGUAAAUUACCCAAUCCUAACGCAGGGAGGUAGUGACAAGAAAUAACGGUAGCCUAUCUAGAUUUGAUCGGCUAAUCGGAAUGAGUACAAUCUAAACACCUUAACGAUUAACAAUUGGAGGGCAAGUCUGGUGCCAGCAGCCGCGGUAAUUCCAGCUCCAAUAGCGUAUACUAAUGUUGUUGCAGUUAAAAAGCUCGUAGUCGGAUUUCAGCUUUGCUCAUCUUUUCCAUUUUGGAUCUGCUGGGGAGGGCUUCUUUGACGGAAGUAUUCCUGACAUUCAUUUGUUGGGUUUUUCAACCGUCUCUUUUACUUUGAGAAAAUUAGAGUGUUCAAAGCAGGCAUUGCCUGAAUAUUACUCUUGGAAUAAUAAUAGAUGACUCUGGUGCUAGUUUGUUGGUGCACUGGUGCCGGAGUAAUGAUUAAUAGCGACGGUUGGGGUCAUUCGUACUGCAAAGCGAGAGGUGAAAUUCUUGGACCUUUGUAUGACGAACAACUGCGAAAGCAUUUGACUAGGACGUUCGCGUUGAUCAAGAACGAAAGUUGGGGGAUCGAAGACGAUCAGAUACCGUCGUAGUCUCAACCAUAAACUAUGCCAGCUAGGGAUGAGCGAUUGUCUUCAACUGACAUCGUUUGCACCUUAUGAGAAAUCAAAGCAUUUGGGUUCCGGGGGGAGUAUGGUCGCAAGGCUGAAACUUAAAGGAAUUGACGGGAGGGCACCACCAGGAGUGGAGCCUGUUGCUUAAUUUGAUUCAACACGGGGAAACUUACCAGGUCCGGACAUAGUAAGGAUUGACAGAUUGAAAGCUCUUUCUUGAUUCUAUGGGUGGUGGUGCAUGGCCGUUCUUAGUUGGUGGAGUGAUUUGUCUGGUUAAUUCCGUUAACGAACGAGACCUUAACCUGCUAAAUAGUUACACGUAACCUCGGUUACGUGGGCAACUUCUUAGAGGGACUUUGCGUGUCUAACGCAAGGAAGUUUGAGGCAAUAACAGGUCUGUGAUGCCCUUAGAUGUUCUGGGCUGCUAACGGGCUACACUGGUGCAUUCAACAAGCCUUUUCCCUGGUCCGAAAGGUCUGGGUAAUCUUUGAAAUUGCACCGUGCUUGGGAUAGACUAUUGCAAUUUUUAGUCUUCAACGAGGAAUUCCUAGUAAACGCGAGUCAUCAACUCGCAUUGAUUACGUCCCUGCCCUUUGUACACACCGCCCGUCGCUCCUACCGAUUGGAUGAUUCGGUGAGCUCUUGGGACUGGCUGCUGUGUCUCCCUAACGGGAGCUCGGCAUCGGAAACUUGAUCAAACCUAAUUAUCUAGAGGAAGGAGAAGUCGUAACAAGGUUUCCGUAGGUGAACCUGCGGAAG
rnacentral:rRNA from 1 species